CAGGCUUGACACAUGCAAGUCGGGGGGCAGCAUUUCAGUUUGCUUGCAAACUGGAGAUGGCGACCGGCGCACGGGUGAGUAACACGUAUCCAACCUGCCGAUAACUCGGGGAUAGCCUUUCGAAAGAAAGAUUAAUACCCGAUGGUAUAAUCAGACCGCAUGGUCUUGUUAUUAAAGAAUUUCGGUUAUCGAUGGGGAUGCGUUCCAUUAGGCAGUUGGUGAGGUAACGGCUCACCAAACCUUCGAUGGAUAGGGGUUCUGAGAGGAAGGUCCCCCACAUUGGAACUGAGACACGGUCCAAACUCCUACGGGAGGCAGCAGUGAGGAAUAUUGGUCAAUGGGCGCAGGCCUGAACCAGCCAAGUAGCGUGAAGGAUGACUGCCCUAUGGGUUGUAAACUUCUUUUAUAUGGGAAUAAAGUUUUCCACGUGUGGAAUUUUGUAUGUACCAUAUGAAUAAGGAUCGGCUAACUCCGUGCCAGCAGCCGCGGUAAUACGGAGGAUCCGAGCGUUAUCCGGAUUUAUUGGGUUUAAAGGGAGCGUAGGUGGACAGUUAAGUCAGUUGUGAAAGUUUGCGGCUCAACCGUAAAAUUGCAGUUGAUACUGGCUGUCUUGAGUACAGUAGAGGUGGGCGGAAUUCGUGGUGUAGCGGUGAAAUGCUUAGAUAUCACGAAGAACUCCGAUUGCGAAGGCAGCUCACUGGACUGCAACUGACACUGAUGCUCGAAAGUGUGGGUAUCAAACAGGAUUAGAUACCCUGGUAGUCCACACAGUAAACGAUGAAUACUCGCUGUUUGCGAUAUACAGUAAGCGGCCAAGCGAAAGCAUUAAGUAUUCCACCUGGGGAGUACGCCGGCAACGGUGAAACUCAAAGGAAUUGACGGGGGCCCGCACAAGCGGAGGAACAUGUGGUUUAAUUCGAUGAUACGCGAGGAACCUUACCCGGGCUUAAAUUGCAUUUGAAUAUAUUGGAAACAGUAUAGCCGUAAGGCAAAUGUGAAGGUGCUGCAUGGUUGUCGUCAGCUCGUGCCGUGAGGUGUCGGCUUAAGUGCCAUAACGAGCGCAACCCUUAUCUUUAGUUACUAACAGGUCAUGCUGAGGACUCUAGAGAGACUGCCGUCGUAAGAUGUGAGGAAGGUGGGGAUGACGUCAAAUCAGCACGGCCCUUACGUCCGGGGCUACACACGUGUUACAAUGGGGGGUACAGAAGGCAGCUACCUGGUGACAGGAUGCUAAUCCCAAAAGCCUCUCUCAGUUCGGAUCGAAGUCUGCAACCCGACUUCGUGAAGCUGGAUUCGCUAGUAAUCGCGCAUCAGCCAUGGCGCGGUGAAUACGUUCCCGGGCCUUGUACACACCGCCCGUCAAGCCAUGAAAGCCGGGGGUACCUGAAGUACGUAACCGCAAGGAGCGUCCUAGGGUAAAACUGGUAAUUGGGGCUAAG
rnacentral:rRNA from 1 species